AUGGCCUCAAACCAUGCAGCUUCUUUUGGCUGCUCCCAUCUUCCUGGGACACCAACCGCAUGGGUGGUCAAGCUCAAUGCUGGCCAGCAGCGGCAUGGUGGACUACAAGUGGAUGCUCAGAGAGCUGAAAUUGGUGAAGCGGAGGCCCUGCCAGUUAUAGGUGGCCAGGUCCAGCAGGAAGUCACGGUAACUGGAAACUGGAACCUGCAAGAAGCAAAGGCAGUCAAAAUUGUUAAUAUCUUACAUGAUAACUUUGGAGGCUCUGCUGAGGGUGACCUCACUCUGUAUCACUGAACCUCAGUCACUGACUUCCUUCCUUCCUUGGAGAUGAAGUCAACCCUGUUGACUUCAUCUCCAAGGCCAGCAAAAUCUUGCUAGAUGAUGAAGCGUUGGCCCAGCAUCCAGCCACCACUGAGGACAUACGGGCAUGUUGUCAGGACAUCAAAGUGCUGGGGCAAAAGGAGCUCAAGUCCCUACUGAACUGGAGAACAAAGCUUCGGCGACAUUUGGCCAAGAAGCUGAAAGAGCAAGCGAAAGCACUGGACAUCAGCCUCAGCUCAGGAGAGGAAGAAGGUGAUGAGGAAGAGUCAACAGCUGGACCACAAGGCAACCCUCUAAGGAGGAGGAGGAGGAGGAACAACUGAAUAAGACCCUGGCAGAGAUGAAGGCCCAGGAGGUGGCGGAAUUAAAGAGGAAGAAAAAGAAGCUGGUGUGUGAGCAGAGAAAGCAGCAGGAGCAUGUGAAGCUGAAGAUGGAUCUGCCAGGGGUUUCCAUCGCAGAUGAGGGGGAGACUGACAUGUUCUUCCUGCGCACCAUCCAGGGUCACCAGUUGUUAGAGGAAGCAACAAAAGGGGAUAUGAGUACUGCAGACACACUUCUGUCCGAUCUGCAAGAGAUGACAUCUAUGUAUCAGAUUUUGAGGAGGAGGAUGAUGAUGCAUCUCUAGAGAGUGACCUGGAUCCAGAAGAGCUGGCAGGAGUUGGGGGACAUCAGGAUCUAAAGGACCAGAAAUAAGUGCGAUACACUGAAGUAGAAGAUAAAGAGGAAGAGGAAGAAGAGAAUCCAUUGCUGGUACCACUGGAGGAAAAGGCAGUGCUGCAGGAGGAACAGGCCACCCUGUGGUUCUCAAAGGAUGGCUUCAGUGGGAUUGAGGAUGAUGCUGAUGAGGCCCUGGAGAUCAGUCAGGCCCAGAUGUUAUAUGAGAGUGGUCGGAAGGGACAGCAGCAGCAGCUGCCACUGCCACUGCCACCACCACCACCUUCCAGUUUGAAGACUGAGAAAAAUCUCCCCAGUGCCAGGAUGAAGCCCCUAAGGGGCAGAGGCUUCUUCAGGGAGAGAAGCUGCCCCUGGCCCUGAAGAGGAAGAAAGAGAUGGCGGCUCAAACCGUGAUAGCAGCAGCAGUGAGGAGGAAGAGAACGGGGAAGCACCCCGUGGUAAGAAGCUCAGACGUGGGCCUACGUCAGAUGACGAUGGGUUUGAGAUAGUGCCUAUUGAGGACCCAGUGAAACAUCGAAUACUGGAUGCUGAUGGCCUUGCUCUAGGUGCCGUUAUUGCCUCUUCCAAAAAGGCCAAGAGAGACCUCACAGAUAACUCCUUCAACAGGUAUACGUUUCAUGAGGAAGAGGGAGAGCUUACAGAGUGGUUUGUGCAGGAGGAAAAGCAGCACCGGAUAUGGCAGUUGCCUAUUGACAAGAAAGAGGUAGAGCAUUACUGGAAGUGCUGGAGGAAAUCAACACUCGUCCCAUCAAGAAAGUGGCUGAGGCCAAGGCCAGAAAGAAAAGAAGGAUGCCGGAAAAGCUGGAACAGACUAGGAAGAAGGCAGAAGCUGUGGAGAACACAGGGGACAUCUCAGAACGUGAGAAAGUGGCAUAGCUGCGAAGUCUCUACAAGAAGGCUGGGCUUGGCAAGGAGAAGCACCAAGUCACCUAUGUUGUAGCCAAAAAAGGUGUGGGCCGCAAAGUGCGCCGGCCAGCUGGAGUCAGAGGCCAUUUUAAGGUGGUGGACUCAAGGAUGAAGAAGGACCAAAGAGCACAGCAGCGCAAGGAGCAAAAGAAAAAACACAAGUGGAAGUGA